GUUUAUUUUUAAUUUAUUAAUGUACCCAAAUCUAGCUCCUUUCAGAGUUCCAAAAUAAUGUAAAAACGAUUAUCCUUUUAACUGUUUCUCUUUUUCUUAGUAAUUGCCGUGAUAAAACUUUGCUGCCUAUCUAGAAACUGAGCACAAGUCCCUCAACCACUUCCUAGCAUAAAUCUCUACUGCAGAACAACGAAAUUAGAAAAUGGAGCAGCUAGUUCUAUAACAAGCUUCAAUAACCCAAUGAUAGCACCAUAAAUACAUCUAGAAGCAGUUUGGAGUUCAUCUUAAUAUGCUGAUAGAGUCCUGAAAUGAGACAUGUGGAGAAGACUUGUUCUAGUCUACCUACCUAUCAGCCUCUUGAAGCAGACCUGCCCAGGUUUGCAUAAACUCAUUGAUGAAUGAUCAGCUGGAAGAAAAUGAUUUUGUUAUUCUCUCUGUUUCAAAACACAACUGAGUUGCUCUAUUGACUAGGCAACAUCAAGUGAAAUAGAUCUACUAGGCUUCUGUGACUCAAAUCGUGACAUUUUGCCAUCAUGUUUAUUAUUGAUAAAAACUGUAAAUGAACAAUAAACCAGAAG
rnacentral:lncRNA from 12 species